AUGGGAAGCUUAGACACCAACCCAAUGUCCUCCGCCUUGCCCAACGACAAGGCCGCGUUCGAGCCGCUCAACUUCUUCGCCUUCUUCCCCUCCACCAACAGCGCCGCUGCCAUCGCUGGGGACCUCAUCGCCUCUGCCAUGAACACCGUCGGGUUCACGUGGCAGGCCUCGCCUGCAGCCACCGAGAUGGAGGUUCUCGCUCUCGACUGGCUUGCACAGCUUCUGCGCCUACCCACUACCUUCAUGAACCGCACCAACACUGGUCGUGGCACUGGCGGUGGCGUCAUCCUUGGCACAACAAGCGAGGCAAUGCUUGUCACGCUAGUCGCCGCUCGUGAUGCAGCGCUGCGCCGAACCGGCUCUGUCGGCGUGUCCGACAUCCCACGCUUGACUGUAUAUGCUGCCGACCAGACCCACUCCACGUUCUUCAAGGCGUGUCGCCUUGCAGGCUUCGACCCCGCCAACAUCCGCUCCAUCCCCACAGGGUCGGAAACUAGCUACGGGCUCGACCCGGCCAAACUUCUCGAGGUAAUGCAGGCUGAUGCCGACGCCGGUCUUGUGACUACAUAUGUUUGUGCCACGGUCCACGUCGAUGCUGCAUACGCUGGCAGCGCGUGUAUCUGCCCGGAGUUUCGCCACCAUCUUGACGGCGUUGAGCGCGUGGACUCCAUUAGCAUGAGCCCGCACAAAUGGCUUCUCACAUGCCUCGAUUGCACCUGCCUUUACGUCCGUGAUGCUCAUCGGCUAAGCGACUCAUUGGAGACCAACCCGGAGUACCUCAAGAACGAUGCUACCGACUCCGGUGAGGUCACUGAUCUUAAGGACAUGCAGGUCGGCGUCGGUCGGCGCUUCCGUGGCCUCAAGCUUUGGAUGGUCAUGCGCACUUAUGGUACUGCAAAGCUCCAAGAGCACAUCCGUAGUGAUGUCGCCAUCGCCAAGAUGUUUGAAGAUUUUGUCCGUGCCGACGACAGGUUCGAGGUGGUCGUACCGAGAAACUUUGCUCUUGUGUGCUUUAGGAUCAAGGCAAGUGGAGCCAUGACGGAGAAGGAUGCCGAUGAGGUCAACCGUGUGCUAAUGGAGAAUCUGAACAAGACUGGCAAGGCAUAUCUUGCGCACACGGUGGUUGGUGAUAAGUUCGUGCUUCGGUUCGCGGUCGUCGCUGCAAGAGGAGAGACAUGCCGGUUUCAAGAUGCCAGACCGAAGCCACUUGGUCACAGUGUAUUCCCAACUUCCUGUUAA
rnacentral:rRNA from 1 species